UCUAUGGGCCUUGCAGAGAAGAGACAACAGGAGAAUGGAGAAGAAGACACAAUUAUGAACUCCAGACAGUAUAUGGAGAUGAAAACAUAGUACGCUACAUUAAAGCAAACCGAAUAAGAUGGACGGGUCACGUGCUAAGGUCGAGUGGCGAACGACUUCUGAACGCCACAUUCUGGGAAAGCCCGAUGGCAAAAGAUCAGUUGGUGGCCCAAGAAAGAGAUGGAAGGACGCAGUAGCCAGUGAUCUACGCAAAAUGGGAGUACAGCAAUCGAAAAUAGCUGCUUAGGACCGACAACAAUAGAGGGAAAUAGUAAACGCGGCCAAGACUCACAUAGAGUUGUAGAACCAAAUAAUGAUGAUGGUAUUCAUCCUCUGUUUUUAAUGUCUCUUUCAUUCAUUAUACUUUUUCCGUUUUGGCUUCUCAUAAAAAUAGGCGUUUAGCACAAGGUCCUUUCUUUUUAUUUGCGGUGACGCUAUUUCGAUAAAACCUGAAAAAUUCAAUUUGAAUAAUGGGAAACCAAGAUACCGAUAAUCCGCUGCCCGGAUAACCCACGCAUGGAUAUAAUCGGAGUUCUACUGUAUUUACAAACAAAAAACCGUGU
rnacentral:lncRNA from 1 species